rnacentral:lncRNA from 1 species
AUUUCAGUGGUAAUUCAGCAAAAUGGACGAGGAUUUCUCAGAUAUACUUGACUAUUACAUGGAACUAGAUGAGCUAGAUGAAGAACAGGACCACAACAUUUUUACAGAUGAUCAAGAAGCAACCACAAGUGUGUCAAGGGAAGAACAGAAAGAGCAGAACUCAGAAACACCAGAACUGUCAGAAGAGGAGACUGGUAACGAUUGUAUUUCAUGAUUUUCUUACAUUCUAAAACUGCUUUUAACUUUUAAUCAACAGCAACAGUUUCAAUUUUGUUUUAAACAUGCUAUUAAGUAAAACAUUAUCAAAUUUGAAUGCAUAAUUCUAGAUAUAUACAUGUUGAUGAAUAUCAUGUCGACGUGACAUCAACUUCAUACUGUUGUGAUGAUUAGUCAUAUUAGAAUAUUUUUUUAGCCUUAUUUAAUAAAUUCAGUAUGAAAAGACACUCCUGUAAUAUUCUCAAAUUUGACAAGACAGGACUGUCACAGAAUUGUUGUUUUGCAGCC